rnacentral:rRNA from 1 species
UACAGAGGGUGCAAGCGUUAAUCGGAGUUACUGGGCGUAAAGGGCGCGUAGGUUGUUACAUAAGUUUGAUGUGAAAUCCCUGGGCUUAACCUAGGGACUGCAUUGAAUACUGUGUAACUAGAGUACUGUAGAGGGUAGUGGAAUUUCCGGUGUAGCGGUGAAAUGCGUAGAGAUCGGAAGGAACACCAGUGGCGAAGGCGGCUACCUGGACAGAUACUGACACUGAGGCGCGAGAGCGUGGGGAGCAAACAGG